GUGAUCAUCGAAUCUUUGAACGCAAAUUGCACUCUCCUCGGAGAGUAUGCCUGUUUGAGGGUCAGCCUAUAAAAAAUCGACAUCGUUGCUGUUUCGCGGUGGCGUUCGUCGGAAAUUGGGUUAUCUAAAUCCUUUUGGGUUUUAAGCGACUUAAAAUUUUUUUUUUGGUUCCAUGAACGCUUCUAAGGUUUAUUUCUUUACACGUUUAAGGUAUCGAUUUUUAUUAGACGUGAACAUCAUAUCGGAUCGCGUCCAUAAUUUUUCAUUAACUGGCCUCAGAAA
rnacentral:misc_RNA from 1 species